CCCGGAGCGCGCCAUCUGCUGGUGACACUGGCACAUCGGCGCUAUGCUGAAGGCUACGUCAUAAACGACGCCAUCUUGCCUCCUCACAGCUCAAGUGACUUUGAGAGACUCGAACAUGGACUCCCAUUUGAAUUCAGCAUAACACUAAAUAUUUUCUACUCUGAUGUUCACUUUUAUCCCAGAUAUGUCUGGUCCUCAUCUGAGUCCUCCCAGUCUUAUCAAUGGCACCACCAUGGUUCACAGAGCCCUGGCUUUAUGCUCAACCCCUCCUUUUCUUUGCUACCCGCUUCUCCUCCAUCCUCAAGGUUCUGCCUAUGGAAUGAAUCCCUCCCUCUCUGAGUUCCUGCCCAAGGCCAUCUCCCUGGAGGAAAUCCUAAAUCCUUCACCUUCAAUUGUCACUUCCAAAUCUCUCUCUUGCCUGAGCCCUCUCAAGCGGCCAACUUGUGUCUCCAAGAAUUUGACAUCUUUAUUUCAAACCCCACUCGAGUCUAUCCCUUCCCACCUAAAACCACUCUCUCCCCCACCACCGUACCUUUAGUUGUGACAUCAUCUGACUUCUCUUUUGUCACAUGCCUGUCUAGUUGCUGUUGGUUUUUCUCUCUGAAAGUUCUGGAAUUCAAUUUCACUAAUUCACUCCAUGAAUAUGUGGACGUUACUAUGUGCCAGAGGCAGGGCGAUGCGGCUGGCAGAUAGUGAGAGGUAAAGAGGAAGUGACCCUUCCUCCACUCUGCUCCUGAUAUCCUGGUCUCCUUGUAGUUCCUUGGACAUCCCAGGCACAGUCUUACCUCAAGACCUUUGCACUUGAGACUCCUCUGACCACAGUACUUCCCCAUAGAUCUACACCAAGGAUUUCUCCAUCCAUCUAACCUUAAAUUUCAAUGUAGCCUCCCAACUCUUCACACUCUCUUCCCAGCUUAAUUUUCUUCUCAGCCUUUAUCACAUACAACAUACUACACGUUUUACUUGUCCAUCAUCUGUCUCCCACACUAGAGGGUAAAGCCCAAUGAGGGCAGGCAUUUUGUUUUCUUCACUACCAUAUCCCUGACACCUACAGAAGUGUCUGGCACAUAGUAGACACUCAAUAAACAUUUGUUCAACAAAUGAAUAGAUGAAUGCUGCAGAAUACCCAAGCUCCUACAAAUAAAACACCUGAUAUGCCCAAUAGAGAUCUCAAUACAACAGAGCAUGAGAGCCCUUCAGGUGAACAGAGGGCAACACAUCCCAGGCUGAUGGAAGAAAGAAGAUGAAGAUGUGAUUAAAACCCUAACCAAACUAUUUCUGCAUAAGCAAGCAGGGCACUGUCGAUACUCUCAGAAUCACCGCAGCUGCUCCUUAUAAAAUGCUCUGAACUUGCUGAUAUACUCUGUACUGUAUACAUAGCUCAUAUGACACAAAACAAAAACCAACUGCUGAGAGAGGUAAUUCAGUGAAUAAAAGGCAAAAAUUGGCUUUGAA